rnacentral:rRNA from 1 species
AAUGAACGCUGGCGGCAGGCCUAACACAUGCAAGUCGAACGGAUCCUUCGGGAUUAGUGGCGGACGGGUGAGUAACGCGUGGGAACAUACCCUUUGGUCCGGAAUAGCCUCGGGAAACUGGGAGUAAUACCGUAUGUGGUCGAGAGACGAAAGAUUUAUCGCCAAAGGAUUGGCCCGGGUUGGAUUAGGUAGUUGGGGGGGUAAUGGCCUACCAAGCCGACGAUCCAUAGCUGGUUUGAGAGGAUGAGCAGCCACACUGGGACUGAGACACGGCCCAGACUCCUACGGGAGGGAGCAGUGGGGAAUCGUAGACAAUGGGGGAAACCCUGAUCUAGCCAUGCCGCGUGAUCGGUGAGGGCCUUAGGGUUGUAAAGAUCUUUCAGGUGGGAAGAUAAUGACUGUACCACCAGAGGAAGCCCCGGCUAACUCCGUGCCAGCCGCCGCAGUAAAAC